rnacentral:sRNA from 3 species
CUGUCCAAGGAUAGACGCUGGUCGGCGAGGUUUCGCCCACCGGCGCUUUGUG